GCCCUCGUGGUGUAACGGAUAACACAUAAGAUUCCGGUUCUUACGAUAGGGGUUCGAUUCCUCUCGAGGGCGCUA
rnacentral:tRNA from 1 species